UACGGAGGGUGCAAGCGUUAUCCGGAUUCACUGGGUUAAAGGGUGCGUAGGAGGGCAGGUAAGUCAGUGGUGAAAUCUUCGAGCUUAACUCGGAACUGCCGUUGAUACUAUCUGUCUUGAAUACCGUGGAGGUGAGCGGAAUAUGUCAUGUAGCGGUGAAAUGCUUAGAUAUGACAUAGAACACCAAUUGCGAAGGCAGCUCGCUACACGAAUAUUGACUCUGAGGCACGAAAGCGUGGGGAUCAAACAGG
rnacentral:rRNA from 1 species